rnacentral:rRNA from 1 species
UACGGAGGGGGCUAGCGUUGUUCGGAAUUACUGGGCGUAAAGCGCGCGUAGGCGGCUUAGCAAGUUAGAGGUGAAAGCCCGGAGCUUAACUCCGGAAUUGCCUUUAAAACUGCAAAGCUAGAAUCAUGGAGAGGUGAGUGGAAUUCCGAGUGUAGAGGUGAAAUUCGUGGAUAUUCGGAAGAACACCAGUGGCGAAGGCGACUCACUGGACAUGUAUUGACGCUGAGGUGCGAAAGCGUGGGGAGCAAACAGG